AUCUGAUAUAUUUAUUGUACACCCGGUAUGUGGGCUUGCGUGCCUGCUGAAUCAUGUAUAGGGUGCGCGCGCACGAUUACGUCAAUAUCGAUAUUCCGCCAGGAUCGAUAUAAAGGGGUCCUGCGGAAUUCGGAGCUCUUCUUUCUUCGCUCUUCCGUUUUGCUCCUUCGCGAUCAUUAUUAUGCAGUAAACCAUUUAUACGAAUCAGUAUUACGCGGUUACCGUCUUCUAAUUUGUAUCAGUUAAUUGAGUGACAUUAAUUAAAUUGUGUGUGCUCUGUGCAUUAUUGUUGUAUAUUUCAUCCUGACAAAUAUCCUGACAAAAUUCCUGCAUCGUGUAUCACCACGGACGGCUUGAUUAAGAUAAUCUUAUCUGACUCUAUAUUACACGAAGAUACAUUUACAAAUAGAGAUGCAAUAUAAAAUAUGAUGAAGUGAGACAUGAUGAAACAGAGAUGCAACGCAAACCUGAUGAUACUGCAGACUGUAAUAUUGAAAUCAAUACAAAAGAUACAAAUUAAAAAAAUAAUUUUCAAACAAAAGGACAUAGCAACAUAUACGAGCUGAAACGUUGUUAUUAAUUAAUUUAUAUAAGGAGCAUAUGGAAAUGUUCAAUAAUCCAAAAAUUACAGCCAGGCAAUGUUGGAACAAUAUUUCAAAAAAAAAUAGGAGAAGCAGGACAUCAAAUAUUACCAAUAAAAUGUUCCACCAAAUUUCAGUGUUUGAAAAGAACGUAUAAAUCUGUUACUGAUCACAAUAAAAAGUCAGGAAACAAUAGGAAAAAAUGGGAAUAUUAUGAGAUUAUGCAUGAGAUAUUUGGAACCAAACCUUGGAUUGCUCCAAUAGCGACAGCUGGGAGUACAUUAAUAUUAUAAGUGAAGAUACAGAAAACGAAGGUCCAAUAAAACCAGUACCAAAGAAACGAAAAAUUAACAACAUACUAGAAGAUUAU